AUUUGCCCGCCUCGGCCUCCCAAAGUGCUGGGAUUACAGGCGUGAGCUACUGCGCCCAGCCAAACCUUUUCUAUUAAAUGGCUAGAUAGGCUUCAGGCUCUGUGGGACAUGUGGUCUCUGUUGCACACACUCAACUUCAUCUUUGUUGUGUGAAAGCAGCCACAGGGGAUACAUAAACCAUUAAGUUAGGAUGUGUUUCAAUGACAUUUCAUCUAUGGAUAUUACAAUUUGAAUUUUGUAUAAUUCUCAUGAAGUGGCAUGAAAUAGUUUUGUUUUGACUUUUUGCCAACCAUUUUAAAAUGUAAAACCCAUUCUUAGCUCUUGGGCUAUAUAAAAACAGGUGGUGGGGCAGAUCUGGCUCACGGGCUGUAGCUUGCCAACUCCUGACUUAGUAGAUUUGAGGACAGAGGAGUGAGACGGAAAAUAACUAACAUUUUGAGUCUGACUCACCGAGAAAGUUAAUUGUCAUUCUUUUCUACAAAAGAAUGAUAACAAAUUUUAGACAAGUCAUUCGGGAUUUCUCAUAAAUCAGCACCCCUCCCACUACUGAGCCCCAUCACCAUACAUCACCAUACACUAGUGGAAUCAGAACCAGUGCUCAAGGUACAUGUUUGAGAAGCAGAAGCAUCAGAGCAUCUGCAUAGAAGGGCUGGCUGAUACUAGAAGAGGGGGAAGGUAUGAGAAAUCUUCUCAUGUCUUAAUUGAGUCAUGCGUUUUAUGAAUAUAUAUUUUUAAGUAAUU